rnacentral:rRNA from 1 species
GUGGGGAAUAUUGGACAAUGGGCGAAAGCCUGAUCCAGCCAUGCCGCGUGUGUGAAGAAGGUCUUCGGAUUGUAAAGCACUUUAAGUUGGGAGGAAGGGCAGUAAGUUAAUACCUUGCUGUUUUGACGUUACCGACAGAAUAAGCACCGGCUAACUUCGUGCCAGCAGCCGCGGUAAUACGAAGGGUGCAAGCGUUAAUCGGAAUUACUGGGCGUAAAGCGCGCGUAGGUGGUUCAGCAAGUUGGAGGUGAAAUCCACGGGCUCAACCUGGGAACUGCAUCCAAAACUACUGAGCUAGAGUACGGUAGAGGGUAGUGGAAUUUCCUGUGUAGCGGUGAAAUGCGUAGAUAUAGGAAGGAACACCAGUGGCGAAGGCGACUACCUGGACUGAUACUGACACUGAGGUGCGAAAGCGUGGGGAGCAAACAGGAUUAGAUACCCUUGUAGUCC